rnacentral:rRNA from 1 species
CCUACGGGCGGCUGCAGUCGAGGAUCUUCGGCAAUGAGCGCAAGCUUGACCGAGCGACGCCGCGUGCGGGAUGAAGGCCUUCGGGUUGUAAACCGCUGUCAGUGAGGAGGAAGGCCCCGUGCAGAGCGGGGUUUGACCUAUUCGCAGAGGAAGUGUGGGCUAAGCUCGUGCCAGCAGCCGCGGUAAGACGAGCCACACAAACGUUAUUCGGAAUCACUGGGCUUAAAGGGUGCGUAGGCUGUGCAGAAAGUGGGGUGUGAAAUCCCUCAGCUCAA